rnacentral:rRNA from 1 species
GGAUUGCCCUAGUAACGGCGAGUGAAGCGGCAACAGCUCAAAUUUGAAAUCUGCCCCCUAGGGGGUCCGAGUUGUAAUUUGCAGAGGGUGCUUUGGCGUUGGCAGCGGUUAGUUCCUUGGAACAGGACGUCACAGAGGGUGAGAAUCCCGUACGUGGUCGCCAGCUCCGCCGUGUAAAGCCCCUUCGACGAGUCGAGUUGUUUGGGAAUGCAGCUCUAAAUGGGAGGUAAAUUUCUUCUAAAGCUAAAUACUGGCCAGAGACCGAUAGCGCACAAGUAGAGUGAUCGAAAGAUGAAAAGCACUUUGGAAAGAGAGUCAAAAAGCACGUGAAAUUGUUGAAAGGGAAGCGCUUGCAGCCAGACUUGCCUGUAGUUGCUCAGCCGGGCUCCGGCCCGGUGCACUCUUCUGCGGGCAGGCCAGCAUCAGUUCGGGCGGCCGGAUAAAGACCUCUGUCACGUACCUCCCUCCGGGGAGGACUUAUAGGGGAGGUGAAAUGCGGCCAGUCCGGACUGAGGUCCGCGCAUCUGCUAGGAUGCUGGCGUAAUGGCUGUAAGCGGCCCGUCUUGAAACACGGACCAAGGAGUCUAACAUCUAUGCGAGUGUUUGGGUGUCAAGCCCGAGCGCGUAAUGAAAGUGAACGGAGGUGGGAACCCCUCGGGGUGCACCAUCGACCGAUCCUGAUGUCUUCGGAUGGAUUUGAGUAAGAGCAUAGCUGUUGGGACCCGAAAGAUGGUGAACUAUGCUUGAAUAGGGUGAAGCCAGAGGAAACUCUGGUGGAGGCUCGCAGCGGUUCUGACGUGCAAAUCGAUCGUCAAA